rnacentral:rRNA from 1 species
AACGAACGCUGGCGGCAGGCUUAACACAUGCAAGUCGAACGGGCGUAGCAAUACGUCAGUGGCGGACGGGUGAGUAACACGUGGGAAUAUGCCUUUCGGUUCGGAACAACUCGGGGAAACUCGUGCUAAUUCCGGAUACGCCCUUACGGGGAAAGAUUUAUCGCCGAAAGAUUAGCCCGCGUUGGAUUAGCUAGUUGGUGAGGUAAAGGCUCACCAAGGCGACGAUCCAUAGCUGGUUUGAGAGAACGACCAGCCACACUGGGACUGAGACACGGCCCUGACUCCUACGGGAGGCAGCAGGUGGGAAUCUUGGACAAUGGGCGCAAGCCUGAUCCAGCCAUG